GUGCUCACUUCAACAGCACAUAAACUAAAAUCAGACCCAUCCCGGGAAGAGUAGCAUGGCCCCUGUGCAAGGAUGACACACAAAUUUAUGAAGCAUUCCAUAUUUUU
ensembl:snRNA U6 U6 spliceosomal RNA